AUACGUAGGGGGCGAGCGUUGUCCGGAAUGAUUGGGCGUAAAGGGCGCGUAGGCGGCGCGGUAAGUCUGGAGUGAAAGUCCUGCUUUCAAGGUGGGAAUUGCUUUGGAUACUGCCGCGCUUGAGUGCAGGAGAGGUUAUCGGAAUUCCCGGUGUAGCGGUGAAAUGCGUAGAGAUCGGGAGGAACACCAGUGGCGAAGGCGGGUAACUGGACUGCAACUGACGCUGAGGCGCGAAAGUGUGGGGAGCAAACAGGAUUAGAUACCCUGGUAGUCCACACUGUAAACGAUGAAUGCUAGGUGUAAGAGGUAUCGACCCCUUUUGUGCCGGAGUCAACACAAUAAGCAUUCCGCCUGGGGAGUACGGCCGCAAGGUGGAAACUCAAAGGAAUUGACGGGG
rnacentral:rRNA from 1 species